GAAGGCAGGCUGUGAUUGAUCUUGAGAUUGCCUUGACCUCUGUGUCGUAGCGGCUGCUGAAUAGAAGAGCUCUAUCUUGAGAAUUCAAGGACCCCUGGGUUGAGGAGGACUUGGCCAAGGAGUGCAUUCGUUGCUGGCUGGCCCAUCAGAUCCCAAGCAAUUCCCCUUCAUUUUAGCCGGGAACAAGGUUCAUGUAGACACUGGACGCAGACGAGUGUGAACCAGUGAAGCAUGUUGUUCAGAGAUGAUUAAAUUCAUAUUGUUUCAGCUCAACAACUACACUGUCUGUAACAUAGUCUGUUGCGUGGUUUGUUCAACAUACAGGGAUACUGGUUCCAACUUCCAAGUCUACACAAGUAAGCAGGGAUACUGGUUCCAAGUGCAAGAGAAACAUCCUGCUAAAGCUAAACUCAUUGAAUCAUCUACAGAUUUAUCUUUGUCUGAGGAGAAAUUGUGCUAUCACAUUGAUGAAAUGCUAUAGCACAGGUGGUGAAUUCCACCAGCUAUGUUCUGUAAUAUAACUAUUACAAUAUUAGACUUAGGUGAAACAAUACUUGUUUCUAUAAAUUGAUGUUGGAAUAUAUAUUAUGUGUAAUGUAUGCAUGAA